rnacentral:rRNA from 1 species
UACGAAGGGGGCAAGCGUUGUUCGGAAUUACUGGGCGUAAAGGGCGCGUAGGCGGCCUGUUAAGUCGAACGUGAAAUCCCCGGGCUCAACCCCGGGAGGCGGGCGGAUACUGUCGGGCUAGAGUCCGGAAGAGGCGAGUGGAAUUCCUGGUGUAGCGGUGAAAUGCGCAGAUAUCAGGAGGAACACCGAUGGCGAAGGCAGCUCGCUGGGACGGUACUGACGCUGAGGCGCGAAAGCCAGGGGAGCGAACGGG